CGGGGCUUGGCUCUGGAGAGUUCUCGGGGAGGCGGGCCGGGCACUCGGGUCUCGCCAGCACCCUUGGGCUCCAGGCGGCUCCUCGGCGCCGCUCCUCCCUGGCCCCGGCGGUGUCUCGGCUGGGCGCCGGGGCCCUCCAGCUCGUCCCGUCUCGGGGCUGGGCCGCCUGCAGGCCCGCUCGCUGCUGUGGCCGGAGCCAACCCAGCGCUCCGCCAGCGCCUUGCGCCCCGGGCCACCAGCCCGCCCGUCGGCACGUGUCGCAGCACCGCCUCGGCUGUGGUUCCGGGUUAGAAGGGAAGGAUUCGUGAGGCCAUCGGUCAUCGGGCGGACAUGGGGCGGGGGCAGCCCAGCCAGAGGCCAGGGCGGCGGCGGCCUGGGCGGCGGCCCCUGGGCGGCGGGCUCUGGGCGGCGGGGCCUGUGCUGGUGCAGAAGCAGUCCUGCAGGCCUGAGCGUGGGAGCCCAAGAACGGAGCGAGGACACGUCAUCCGUGCCUGAGCCCACAUGCUGCUUGGGCAGAGCAGUCCAUACAGUUUCCAGAGGAAGAUUCCAAUGACCUGAGGAUGGAGAUUCGGGCAGUACAUGGAGCCGGGAAGUUGGGAAAAAGACUCACUUCAGACCCAAGCCGACCCCGCGCAGUGGGUCAGCUGGGGGCUCUGCCACAUCUCCCUGGACUCUGUCACCCAGACCAAUAGAGGAGCCAUCAUCUUAAACGUUGCUGAUUACUGUGGCAAAGAGAAAGAAAGGCCUAGAAGGUCUCCCAUUGGCAGCCAAGUGCUCCAGCUCACCAAUGUUACACCUCACUUCUAUUCAAAAUGCCCCGCAAGGGGGCCG
rnacentral:lncRNA from 1 species